rnacentral:rRNA from 1 species
UAAGCAUAUCAAUAAGCGGAGGAAAAGAAACUAACAAGGAUUCCCCUAGUAACUGCGAGUGAAGCGGGAAAAGCUCAAAUUUGAAAUCUGGCAGUCUAUUUUUUCUUCUUUGGCUGUCCGAAUUGUAAUCUAGAGAAGUGCUUACCUGCACUGGACCAUGUAUAAGUCUCCUGGAAUGGAGCGUCGCAGAGGGUGAGAAUCCCGUCUUUGACAUGGACUGCCAGUGUGUUGUGGUGUGCUCUCAAAGAGUCGAGUUGUUUGGGAAUGCAGCUCUAAAUGGGUGGUAAACUCCAUCUAAAGCUAAAUAUUGGCGAGAGACCGAUAGCGAACAAGUACCGUGAGGGAAAGAUGAAAAGGACUUUGGAAAGAGAGUUAAACAGUAUGUGAAAUUGUUGAAAGGGAAACGCUUGAAGUCAGUUGUGUCGGCUAGGGAUCAACCUAGCUGUUUUUUGCUGGGUGAAUUUCCUAGUCUUGACAGGCCAACAUCAGUCUUGACUGCUGGAAAAGAGCAGGGGGAAUGUGGCACCUUUGGGUGUGUUAUAGCCUUUUGUCAUAUGUGGCAGUUGGGACUGAGGGAUGCAGCGUGCCGCGAGGCUGGGUUUCGACCACGUUCACGCUUAGGAUGUUGGCUUUUAAUGGCUUCAAUCGACCCGU